UAGGGAAUAUUGGACAAUGGACGCAAGUCUGAUCCAGCCAUCCCGCGUGCAGGAUUAAGGCCCUCUGGGUUGUAAACUGCUUUUAUUAGAGAAGAAAACCUCAGAUUUAUCUGAACUUGACGGUAUCUAAUGAAUAAGCACCGGCUAACUCCGUGCCAGCAGCCGCGGUAAUACGGAGGGUGCAAGCGUUAUCCGGAUUUACUGGGUUUAAAGGGUGCGCAGGCGGUAAUUUAAGUCAGUGGUGAAAGCC
rnacentral:rRNA from 1 species